rnacentral:misc_RNA from 1 species
AAACUGCGAUAAGUAGUGUGAAUUGCAUUUAGUGAAUCAUCGAAUCUUUGAACGCACCCUGCACUCACUGGUAUUCCGGUGAGUACGCCUGUUUCAGUAUCAUUGAAAACACACAAUCAAAACAUUUUCUUUGGUUUGAUUGGCUUUGGGUCUAUCAAAAAGUUUGGCUUGUUUCUUACAAGCCAAGCGGCCUGAAAUAUAUUGUCUGGCUAAUUGCAUCGUUGAUGAUCGCUAUUAGACUUUGGCUUUUUUAAAUGAACUGGAGGUUGAUUAACCAGUUUUAGCUUUAGUCGAAUGGUCAUUGUAAAAAAAAUCUCGAUCUUGGCUAGGUGUUUAUAGCCGAAAAUUUUUUUUUGGCUAUAACCGAAACCAAUAUAAUCACAUUUAGUUAUCGAUCUGAAAUCAGGUGGGACUACCCGCUGAACUUAAGC